CACACUGGGAUUGAGAACGGCCCAGACUCCUACGGGGGGCAGCAGUGAGGAAUUUUCGGCAAUGGGGGCAACCCUGACCGAGCAACGCCGCGUGCAGGAGGACGCUUUUCGGAGUGUAAACUGCUUUUCUGUGGGACGAGAGAGGACGGUACCGCAGGAAGAAGCCCCGGCUAACUACGUGCCAGCCGCCGCCGUAACAC
rnacentral:rRNA from 1 species